rnacentral:ncRNA from 2 species
GCUUGUUCUCAGGGCAGGGUGAAAUUCCCGACCGGCGGUAACUUUUAGAUACAGUAUGUAGAAAAAAGAAGCCCGCGAGCGCCCUUGGCUUCAGGAUCAUUUCGGAUCCAGAAAUCAAGGGGUCAGCAGAUCUGGUGAAAUUCCAGAGCCGACGGUAACAGUCCGGAUGGGAGAGGAUAGGC